UACGUAGGGGGCAAGCGUUGUCCGGAAUUAUUGGGCGUAAAGCGCGCGCAGGCGGCCUUGUAAGUCUGUCGUUUAAACUCGGAGCUCAACUUCGAGUCGCGAUGGAAACUGCAAAGCUUGAGUGCAGAAGAGGAAAGUGGAAUUCCACGUGUAGCGGUGAAAUGCGUAGAGAUGUGGAGGAACACCAGUGGCGAAGGCGGAUCUCUGGGCCUUACCUGACGCUCAGGUGCGAAAGCUAGGGGAGCGAACAGG
rnacentral:rRNA from 1 species